rnacentral:lncRNA from 1 species
AUUUUUUUUUCGAAAGGCGGCAAAAAGCUUUUGCCGGAUUUUUAUUAGACGAGUAAGGAAAACAAAAACAAAAGAGUAUACAAGUUACAUACAAACAGCCCGUAGGAUAAAUCAGGUUAUUAUAGGUCGGUAAAAUGAGGUAAUAAAUUGAUUGCGUGCAAACAGAAGAAAACACAUUGGAUUUUCGUCGCUCAAGAAGAGAGAGAGAGAGAGGAAACAAGGAACAAUUGCAAGAAGAAUGAAGCUAGUUUCUAGCUAGUCGCCUAGUCCACUGCACACCAAGCAGCUUCCUCCCAACCCCAUUGUUGGUGGCGGCAUGGCCGGCACCAGGGCUGUGUCCAGGAUCCGUCGCUCGGGUGUCCUCUCCGAGGACGCCACCACCGGCUGCGCCGCCGCUCCCGGUGCCGUCCGGCGAGAUUGUGCCUGGGGUCAUCGUCCGCUUGGUGUCCCCAUCGUCGGAAUGCGACAACAAGUUAAACCUCCUAUGCAUCAUCGUGAGGGGUUCGCCUUGAGAGUGCAUGAUAUGGUUAGAGGAGACGAGGAUUAUGAGCACCAGGAUGAGGGCUACUUUGCUAACCUUACAGAAGACCAUGGUAUAUAAAGCUUAGCUACCUAGAGAAAGAAGGGCCAACAAUGGCCGGUGAUGAGCUCCUAGAAUGAGCUAAUGGUGAAGUGGUGAACUCUGGUGUGGCUGAUCUGAUGUGUGUGAGCUCAUGUUUUUGCUAUUUAUAGCAUCGUACUAGAUACACUGAAAGGUGUGCCGACUAGAGCUGCAAUGUAUAUAUAUUAUAUAAAACAUAACUACGGGCACCUUUAUUAGCUUGGCACAUGUGCAUGGUGGGCACAAAGUAUAUUAGUAUUUGAUUAAAUGGAUUAAUCAGACAACAACACUAAACUCCACUCUUUUGCAAGUUUAUAUAUAGUAUAUGGACAUGGAG